GAGGGUGUAGCUCAGUGGUAGAGUGCAUGCCUAGCAUGCACAAGGUCCUGGGUUCAAUCCCCAGCACCUCCA
rnacentral:tRNA from 1 species